rnacentral:misc_RNA from 1 species
AACGCAUAUUGCACUCCGUUCCGCGGAGUAUGCCUGUUUCAGGGUCUGUUGAAAAAAUCCGGAAUUUAUUUUCUGGGAGAUGAACUUUUCGCGCGAUGCGCGAUAGUUUAAAAUUUUAAUGCGUUUGCAACUGACGGGACGCGUAAUAGUAGUAAAAUGCUAAUAUCGUAACUUGUCAGGUGACAUUAAACGUGUUGUUUGGUUAGACCCGAGUUCAUUCUCGGGAGUGAUCAAACAAUAAGUCUACAUAGACCUGAAAUCAAGCAAGAUUACCCGCUGAACUUAA